GCAUUAUACCGUGAAACUGCGAAUGGCUCAUUAAAUCAGUUAUCGUUUAUUUGAUAGUACCUUACUACUUGGAUAACCGUGGUAAUUCUAGAGCUAAUACAUGCUGAAAACCCCGACUUACGAAGGGGUGUAUUUAUUAGAUAAAAAACCAACGCCCUUCGGGGCUUCUUGGUGAUUCAUGAUAACUUUACGGAUCGCAUGGCCUUGCGCCGGCGACGGUUCAUUCAAAUUUCUGCCCUAUCAACUUUCGAUGGUAAGGUAUUGGCUUACCAUGGUUUCAACGGGUAACGGGGAAUUAGGGUUCGAUUCCGGAGAGGGAGCCUGAGAAACGGCUACCACAUCCAAGGAAGGCAGCAGGCGCGCAAAUUACCCAAUCCCGACACGGGGAGGUAGUGACAAUAAAUACUGAUACAGGGCUCUUUUGGGUCUUGUAAUUGGAAUGAGUACAAUUUAAACCUCUUAACGAGGAACAAUUGGAGGGCAAGUCUGGUGCCAGCAGCCGCGGUAAUUCCAGCUCCAAUAGCGUAUAUUAAAGUUGUUGCAGUUAAAAAGCUCGUAGUUGAAACUUGGGCCUGGCUGGCAGGUCCGCCUCACCGCGUGUACUUGUCCGGCCGGGUCUUCCUUCUGGAGAACCUCAUGCCCUUCACUGGGCGUGUUGGGGACCAGGACUUUUACUUUGAAAAAAUUAGAGUGUUCAAAGCAGGCCUUUGCUCGAAUACGUUAGCAUGGAAUAAUAGAAUAGGACGUGCGGUCCUA
rnacentral:rRNA from 1 species